ensembl:lncRNA
UUAAAUCUUUUUUUAUAUCAUUAUUAUUAUUGCUGUUGAUGUUGUCGUUUCUUUAGUAAUGUGUACACUAACAUGUAUUCAAGAUGUAAGAAAAAUGCCAUGUAAUUAAUAAAUAAAAAAUAUUUAAGUCAUUAAAUUAAAAGUUUUUCAAAACCCUAUGGAACCAACAUGAAUACAAAGAGUACAUAUCUAAGCACUUGGCAUAUUUGUUUUAAACUAGAAUUUUAAAGGAUUUGUUCCUUUUGAAAACACUCUUAUAUGUCAUUGACCUAUCUAUAUCAGAGCUCUCCCACCAUAACUUCGUUGUUCAUCUCUUUUCUUGUCUUUUUAGUUUGAUGGAGCGAGCAAGAGGAAUAUCAAUAUGCUCAGGACGUGUUAUACAUUUAGACUGGGCUCACAUUCCAUCUCUGAGUGGGCACAGAGAAAGCCACCUGUCAGUAUGUCACUAUCAGAUUUGGUUCUUACUAAUGUUUUUUUCUUCCACUUUUGCUAACUCCUUUUAAUAUCAAUCAUGUCCCACUUCAUUACUUUCUAAUUCAUUCAUGUUUAUCACUCUAACAUGUUAAUGACUUUGGCAAGUAAACUGAAAGCCACAUGGAUACAGUAUAUACUGUACACACUGUUAAUAAGACUUUUGUAAGACACAAAAGGUCAUGAUCAAGAUCGAUCAUGAUAUAAAAUGGUCAGAUUGCCCAUACCUAGUGAAAAUUGUGAACUAAAGGAUAGGUGUAAUUGAAAGGGGUGUUAAAGUAAAAAAUAAGUGUAACUGGAUUAACCCUUAUGCACUGUUAAAAAAAAAAAAAAAAUAAAAAAAAAAUAAACCUUUUCACAUAUUGCAAAGAUUAAAUAUCUGAAUUUAUGAUUUAUAAAAAUGUUUUCAAUCACUAUGUUUGAUUGUCCCUCCCCCACACCUGUUUUGAUGUUUGAGAUUACACAUUUUUUUAACGAUAAAAGCUUGGUCUUAAUCUAAAGUAAUCUUGACAAACUUUACAUAUUUUGAAAGUUUUCAUACUUUAGUUUUCAUAUUUGGUGACAAUAGAUAAAAGAGAUAGAUUGUUCAUUUGUGAUGUGGUGCCAAACACACUCUUGUUAUUAUAUUAAAGUUACUGCCCAAACUAUGUCUGAAUAGGAUGUCUACUUCAUAAAUAUUUUGAAGAUUAUGGAAAUAUAUGGU